UUUCACAGUAGAUUUCUGUCUAAAAGAGAGACUUCUCUUUUACAGCUCAGAGUUUCACAAGGAGGAAGACAGCCAGAUCUCUGUCCAAGCUGCAUUUGGGUGGCCAAUUUCCACUUUGUUUCUCAGAAAUCUGUGGGAUUGAAGGACAGAGAUUUUUUUCUCAAGUUUGCAGACAAGGAAACUGUGCUUCUGGUGGAUUCAGUGACUUCCCCAAAAUCAUCCAGCUGGUUAGCAGCAGAACUGAGACUUUAACUCAACCCUCCCAGUUAUGUGUUCUUCCCUGCAUUUGUGACCUGCUAAGGACAAGCUUGUCCUGAGCGUGAAUGAACAGUCCAUUGGCUGGGUUUACAGAGCUCUGCUUCAUUCCCUCUGGCCUGAAGUGAGGUUGAAUUAUAAAAUAGGGCCAGCCUUAUCUUGGGCAGCCAUGCAACAAUGGUAUCUGGAGGUGAGUGUUGAAAUAUGUCUUGGGGCUUCGGGAAAUGUUUUCAAUUCAAUAUUCUGUCAUCAUUGUCCAAAGAUUUUUGAUAGUGUCCUUUAGGAGUCACUGAAUACAAAUAGGAGAAAAGAGAGAAACAACUUUGCAUUCAGAUGCCUCAAACUAACAAGUAAACAAGAAAAUGUCUAGAAAAUAAGUUUUGGACUCAGUAAGGAUAAUGACUAUAAUUAUAUGUAUGUAUCAUUUGUAAUAUUAAUAAUUAGUGUAAUCAUAUACCUUCAUAUAUAGUCACAUGUAUUAAGACUCAGUCAUUUGGCAGAACACUACCUGAGUAUUGGAAGACCUGGGUUAAGAUCCAAUUCAUUAGCCAGGAAGUCUUGGGCAAAUUGCUUAGCUUCCUUUAAAUUCCUCUGAUCCAGAGAAAUUUGUAUUCUAAGGACCUGAAAUCUGAGGGUUUACUCUCACAAUGGCGCACUCCUCCAAUUGCCCCUACCCCAUCAAAAAUUACUCUUCUUAAGGAUAAUAGAAAUUUCCACCAAAUACUCCUAAAGGCAGAGGCAGAGGACAGACUACGUCAGUGGUUAUCUCUGGCCACAGCUCAAAGUGAUCCCUUAGAUAUUAGUUACACAUUGCUGUAUAACAAAUUACACCGAUAACAAACCUUUAUUAUCUCGGUUUUUGUGGGGCUGAAAUCCAGGUACAACUUAACUGGAGUCAUCUGGUCUCUCACAAUCAAAGGGUCAGCCAGGGUUUCAAAGUUCUCAAAUCGCGAAUGUAGAAGGAUAUGCUUCCAAGCUCACUCAUGUAUUAUUAGCAUGGCUCCAUUCCUUGUUGGUGGUAUGACUGAGGGCUUCAGUUGUUUGCUAGCUGUUCAUUGCCAU
rnacentral:lncRNA from 1 species